GGCACUUUGGCGGAGUGGUUAACGCGAUGCCCUGCUAUGUAUAGUGUAUCAACAUCACCAACCUCUUCCAGGUGGUGAAUUGAAUAUCACGAAGUAGUGAAGGCAUUCCCUUCGGGGGCGUGUGUUCGAAUCACACAGGUGUCG